UGGAACCAGGUAUAGUGAAAUACCAUUGCUUUAGGACAAAAAUAAACCUGAAAUUGUUAAGCACAACAAAAUCCAGUGAGUUAUGAAUGUAGUGCACCUGGAACAGAUGCAGAAGGCUGUGCAAUUGUUUCAUUUCUCUGAGAAGCAUUUGGUGGCACAGGUUGUUCAUUUCCUUCAGCAGUCAAGGGGGGAGGUACUGUGUUAUAUGGUGAAAUUUCAGGAGCCCUUGGAUGGAUGAUUGGUGAAAUUUCAGGUGCGCUUGAGUUGAUAACUGGUGAAGUUUCAGGUGUACUCGGGUGGACAACUGGUGACUUAUGCGGCAAAUUCUUUGAAGGAGCUGUAUCUGGAACCAGAUAUAGUGAAAUACCAUUGCUUUAGGACAAAAAUAAACCUGAAAUUGUUAAGCACAACAAAAUCCAGUGAGUUAUGAAUGUAGUGCACCUGGAACAGAUGCAGAAGGCUGUGCAAUUGUUUCAUUUCUCUGAGAAGCAUUUGGUGGCACAGUUUGUUCAUUUCCUUCAGCAGGCAAGGGGGGAGGUACUGUGUUAUAUGGUGAAGAUACAACUGGAACAUUUGGUGACAAGGGUGGCAUAUGUCCUUCAAAAAUUAAUGGUGGUUGAGCUGUAUUAUCUGGUGCCCUUGCUACUGGAUUGCUGGGUGGAUAGGAUGGUACAAGCCCUCUUAUU
rnacentral:lncRNA from 1 species